rnacentral:lncRNA from 1 species
AUGAAAUUUUGAACAAAAAAAGUGGUUAAGGUUUCGUACACAAAUGAUUUUGGAGAAAAAAACUUAACCGAUGUAAAUCUUAAUAAUCACAAUAAUUAUAACUAUAAUAGUUACGGGUUCGCUAAGGGUGGUCAAUCCACCACUUAACUUUAAGGGACAACUAAUGUGCCAGGUGCACCGUAAAAAUAACUAUACAACGUAACUUUACGGUGUUCUUCUUAGGUGGCACUUAAAUUAACUUAAGUGCCACUUAAACGUCUAUGUAUACGGCCGGUAGAGUCUUAGAAUGUUGAGUUUCGAAGUUGUUGGGACGGGGCUAGAACGGUUAAGCCUGCUUAAAGUGUUCCGCGAACGCGAGUGGUCUUGGACGUGUUUACCGAAGGUGAGUUUGCUUCCGAUUGUAACGCCGAGGUAUUUGGCAUGAUUGGACCAGUUCACUGGAUGAUUAUCGAGUAGUAAUGGUGAGAUUGAUGAAGUAUAUUAGAACGUCCGAAAAGGAUAUCUACAGUUUUGGUCGGGUUUAUUUUGAUUCUCCAGCAAUGAAACCAUGUGGUAACUAGGUUGAGUUGGUGUUGUAAUUGUAUUUCUGCUCGUUUCGGGUUUUUGUCGAAAGUAAAGAACAUUGUGUCUUCAGCGAAUAGAGAGAGAAUUGCUUUACGAGUUGUUGAUAUGUCGUUUAUGUAAGUCGAGUAGAGAGUAGGUGAGAGGCAGGAUCCGUGAAGGACGCCUGCGAGUAUGUGUCGGUGGACGAGAAUAAGUCUUCGAUUUGUGUGAUGAAGGUGCGGCCAGUGAGAAAGGAUUCGAUGAUUUUAACGAUUUCAUUCGGGGUAUUGAGUUGGGAUGGUUUGUAGAGGAGACCUACGUGCCAGACUCGGUCGAAGGCUCUCUCCACGUCAAGAAAGAUGGAAGCGGUGUUUACGUUGUUGUUAAAGUUCUGGCUAAGUUGGUGAGUAAGUUUGGUCAGUUGUAGGGUGGUAGAGUGUUCAGGUCUGAAGGCAAAUUGUUCUGGGCGGAUUUUGUCACGGAGAUUGUUUUGCAGGUGAGUGAGGAUGAUUCGUUCGUAAAUUUUGGAUAGGGAGGAAAGUAGAACGAUUGGUCUGUAUUUUUCGGGUAGUUUGUGGUCUUUGCCUGGUUUGGGAAUGGAAAUUAUAACUGCUUUUUUCCAGGUACGUGGAAAGUAGCAAAUUCUGAGAGAGCCGUUUAAUUUGUGUUAGGGAUAGUAGAAUGUUAUUAGGUAGACAUUUAAGAGCAGUGUUGGUGAUGAUGUCUUCACCAGGGGCUUUCUUUUUGCGGAGGUUGCUUAUGAUUUUUUGGAUUGUGCCAGGAGUUGUGAAUAGGUUGGAUUUAGUGAUUUUAAUGUUUUGUAGUAAGUUGAAGUGUGCAGUUAUUUCAGGAAUCGGGGUUUGGUUGGAAUUGAAGUUUGAGAGAGUCGGCUAUUAGCUUGGUUCGGUCGAUGGCCGGAAAAACUAGGCCGUUAGGGUCAGUAAACGGGUGGGAUGCUGGACGUUUGUGGAGUAGACAUUUGUUUAGUUUGUAUAUGGAACCGUCUUGAUGGUCAAGUGAGUUAAGAAAGAUGUCCCACUGGUCAGUUUUGUGGGUCUCGAGUAAAGUUCUGUUUAGUAAGAUUUUGGCGUUAAGUUGGCGCUUAGUAGUCGGGUCACGGUUUCUCUGCCAUUGACGGCGUAAUUGGUUUUUUUUCGUUAUUUCGAGUUUUAUGUAGUCGGGUAGUAAAAGGGAAGAGUUUUUGUGUUUAGGGGUAAAUACGCUAGCUUCGAUCGCGUGUUGUAGGCUUUUGGUUAGACUGUCAAUCGCCGAAUCAAUUGACUGACUGUUGUUGGUCGGUUAUGCAGUUGGGUUAGAUAAGUUGGAGAGGAUUGUUUUGUAUUUUGUCCAGUUGAUGAAGCGGUUAGUAGUUGGAGGGGACGAUGAUACCGGAGUACAUAAGAUCUUCAGAAGAAUGUGGUUGAGGUCAGAAGAUAGCUCGUUGAUGUUGUUGAUUUGAGUAGGGUAAGGUAAUCGGACGAGAGCGAUAUCGAGUAUGUCGGGUCUGUAUCGAGCGUUUUUCGGGAAGUGUGUGGGGGAUGUGGGAGCAGUAAUGGAUAGUCUGAUUGUUGAACGUGGUCAAAGAGGAUAUACCCGGCAGCGUUUGUUGAGUGGCUAAAACACAAAGGGUGUUUGACGUUGAAAUCACCUGCCGAGAUUUGCCAUUCAGCACUUUUGGUCAACAAGUCUAAGUCAUGAGUCGUGAAUGUGGCGCCGGGUGGUUUGUAUACCACUGAUACAAGUACUUCGUGGCCAUUUUAUUGGAUAAAGACAGAAGAGAUUUGAAUGAGUGUGUUAAGAAUUAUGGGUUGGUGAAUCAUGCGGUGGUGGAUUAGAACAGCCGUGCCACCGUGAGCAGGCGACCCGUGGACGGGUGGCAAAUCGUUCUUAUAUUUGUAAUAGUUAAGAAUGUGAAGUUUGAUAGAAGGGGGUAUACGGGUUUCGUUAAGUAAGAUUAUGUCGGUUUUAAGUAGGAGUGCGAGGAAACGUAGUUCGUUUAGUUUGUGUUUGAUACCGUUGGAGUUCCAAAAUAGUAUUUUUAAGUUAUUCAUUUUGCGGCGAGAGUAUGGGCAGGAAUGUCUUGAUAGUUGUUUCUAUGAGUGAUUUCUGGUCUUGAUUGUUAGAUAGUGCAGUCAAUAGGUUGGUAAGCUUGUUCAGUAUUAACAUCAAGUAAGUUAAGUUAUGGGACUGGGGAAGUUGAAGAAGUGUGCACUGGUUUUGAAGUUGCUGCGGAGUAUGUCAGUGUAGAGUUUUGUAAAGGGUGUUGAGGUGGUGGUGGAGGAGUGGUUAAGAUUGGUUGUAGGGUUUGUUGUUGGACGGAGUUUUGUGUUGGUGUUCGAGAUGUCUGCUGUUUCUGAGCCAAGAAUUGAGGGCAGCCUAGGAAAUUAGCCGUGUGAGGGUCACGACAGUUGCUGCAUGUCGGGGAUUGUUCAGAAGUUUUGGGGCAGACGUUGGCAGCAUGGUUUCCAGCGCAUUUAACACAUCGUUAUCACAGUAAUAUAUGGCUGCAUUUAUUCAGGUGACCCAUCGUGUUAUUACUGGCUCUGGAGGUAAAGGUUAAUCCGGUGCUUCAGUUUUAUAAAGAAGCAUGCGAGAUGGAGCUUUUCUAAAUAUUUUAUUGAUAUUUAAAAUCAGCUGAUCAACAGAUUCAUAUUGGCUUCGUACUUAUUCAGCCACCCUGUGUAGCCCAUGCGCAGUGCAUGCAACGUGUAUCAUUUUGGAAUAUAAAGCAUUUAACGUUUGACCACAUUUCACCAUGUAAGGUGCUGCGUCCGACAAAAAAAAUAAAACAUUGUCAUGUUUUAUACCAUCUGACCAUAAUAUAGAAAGAGAUUUGUCAAAUAGUUUACUAACUAGAAUAAUUAACUUUUUCCAGAUUUUUCAGCUUCCAAAGUACCAAUAAUCACGUUUGCGAUAAUUCGACCUUCAGCAUCGGUCGUUUCGUCGAUCGAUAUACAAAUUUUAUGAUCAGAAAUAUAUCCUCUUAUUUUUUGCAUAGUUUCAAUAAAACAAUCAUCAAUAUAGCCUUUUCUUAAAGUUGUUUCGUAUGGUAUCUCUUUCCCUGUGUAAGAUUCCAAAAAAUUUCGAAAUACUUGGUUCAAUAAUUUAUUCAGUGAAAUGUUAGCCGAUAGCAAUGCUUUACAUAAGUACAUAUUGAAAGUAGAGUUUUUAGUUGUAUUAGUUUGUGUAAUCAUUUGUUGGAUUCUUGUAUUGAACAUUUCCCUCCGUUUAAUCAUUUUCACAUGUUUAACUGUUUGUAUAUGUUAUAUUACACUAGAUCGCCGUUCAUAUUCUACUUUAAUUUCACAUAUUUUGCAAAAAUACAAAAUAGCGAAUACAAAUACGAACACGAGAACGAUUGACGAUAUAUAAAUUGACACGAUAACGAUCGUAGACCGUCGAUCACUGUGUACUGGCAAACAAAAUAAUACUGUAAAAGACAGAUUAAAUAAAAAUAAUAUUGUCUUCAGAGCAAACCUAAAAAUAAAAUGGGUUCCCCGUAACGCUAUUGAUUAUCGUUUCAUCGGUAUUAUUGUUGACAAAAUCAUGUAGAUAAAACUGAUUAAUUUACUGAUAUUGAGGACUGGACCGAUUUUGAAAGACAGUUUUUCAAAACGUUCGUCGGCGUAGUGAUGACAGGUGAUUGCUGGAAAGAAAUGAGUCGUCGCGUCCAGUUACGUAAUGAGAACGUACGUGAAUAUUUUCACGAGAAAGUUUACCUGUGCAAGAGAAUUGGCCUAUCUUUUUACGAAUCCAAAAUACAAGUGUUGGAAGGUCUAUUCUCGAAGGAUCUUAGUAUCUAUUGGGUCGCGAUCAUCGAGAUGAAGACGACUUAUUAAGCGACAUGGUUGAGUAUGAGUUAGGUAUAUCACGUGCUACACGUUUUCGUCAGUCGUCAGUAAACGUUAAGGACAAUGGAGUACAUAGGCCUACACCACGACAGCAGAACGAUACGCCGUCGUCUUUGCCAAUGAAGAAAGAAAGUACGAAAAAUACCACAGAUUGCGAAGCAAAACCAACAGUCCAAUCGUGUUUUAAUUGUGGCUCGAGAACAAAUAUUUCACCUUGAUAUCCUAAGCCAAAAAGAGAAAAGGGGCCUGUUAUGAAUGCGGUUCGACAUCGCACCAAAUAGGAAGUUGUCCAGAACGUACGAGACAGAAUUCCGAGGCAGCGACAUGAAAACAGCCGGGACUGAUAAACAUCGACGUGGCAGACGAUGAUGCACCACCCGUCGACUACCCGAAUCCGUACGAGGUACAAUGCAAUAUCUACGUUCCUGUUGCCGAACACGAAGUUUGUGAGGUAGAGUUCAAUGCGGUAAUCGACACAGUCGUCAAAUGAGCAUCAUGGUUGUCAUAUCUAAGCGCACAAAACUCAUAUUUUGUAUGUCAGUGCAUACUAGACUUACUGGUAGAUAUGAUCCUUUUAAAAAAUAUAAUGAAGAAUUCACUAGGUACGAAGAACCAAAUUUCAAACUCUUCGAAAAACAGAUGAUAACAGAAAAAAAAAUACCUCCCAUAUUGCAGUACAAGGAUAUGUUUCCAAUUCCGGUAUGGGGGAGGAAUAGAGGUGGUAAAAUUAGAAAAAAACAUUAUUAAAAAAAAACAAACAUUUAUAAAACUGAGCGAAAAGUCUAAGGUAAGUAAAAAUGUUGAUUAAUUGUAUAAAACUAAUGCUAAGACAAAUAUUAACAUACAUUUUUUUUUGGAGUAGGCCAUAAAUUCCAUAUCACUUACUAUGAAUGAGUUGUGGAAUUCUGGCCACGUAUUCGUUAACAUUCCAUUGCUCACCACCGUAUUAAACAAAAACAAUACGUACCUAUGCAAAUGUGAAGGGGCAUUUAUUAACCAACAGUCUAGAAUUAGAAUCAUCUAUACUUCAAAAUGCAAAAAAUAAUCCAACUUAUCCUUUAAUUAAUAAAAUUGUCCAAAUUAUUAAAAACG